UUAACGAGGCAGCUUGCUGCCGAAGUGAGUGAUACCCUGCUUCCAGGAAAAGCCACUAAGCUUCAGCUACACACGACCGUACCGCAAACCGACACUGGUGCGCGAGAUGAGUAUUCUAAGGCGCUUGAGAGAACUCGGGAGAAGGAACUCGGCAAAUUGACACCGUAACUUCGGAAGAAGGUGUGCCUUUAGUAGGUGAAGUCCCUCGCGGAUGGAGCCCAAUGAGGUCGCAAAAAAUCGGUGGCUGCGACUGUUUAUUAAAAACACAGCACUCUGCAAACACGAAAGUGGACGUAUAGGGUGUGACGCCUGCCCGGUGCUGGAAGAUUAAAUGAUGGGGUGCAAGCUCUUGAUUGAAGUCCCAGUAAACGGCGGCCGUAACGAUAACGGUCCUAAGGUAGCGAAAUUCCUUGUCGGGUAAGUUCCGACCUGCACGAAUGGCGUAACGAUGGCCACACUGUCUCCUCCCGAGACUCAGCGAAGUUGAAAUGUUUGUGAUGAUGCAAUCUCCCCGCGGAAAGACGGAAAGACCCCAUGAACCUUUACUGUAGCUUUGUAUUGGACUUUGAACAGAUCUGUGUAGGAUAGGUGGGAGGCUUUGAAGUAGGGUCGCUAGAUUCUAUGGAGCCAACGUUGAAAUACCACCCUGGUGUGUUUGAGGUUCUAACCUAGGUCCAUUAUCUGGAUCGGGGACAGUGCAUGGUAGGCAGUUUGACUGGGGCGGUCUCCUCCCAAAGCGUAACGGAGGAGUUCGAAGGUACGCUAGUUACGGUCGGACAUCGUGACGAUAGUGCAAUGGCAUAAGCGUGCUUAACUGCGAGACUGACAAGUCGAGCAGAUGCGAAGGCAGGACAUAGUGAUCCGGUGGUUCUGUAUGGAAGGGCCAUCGCUCAACGGAUAAAAGGUACUCUGGGGAUAACAGGCUGAUACCGCCCAAGAGUUCAUAUCGACGGCGGUGUUUGGCACCUCGAUGUCGGCUCAUCUCAUCCUGGGGCUGUAGCCGGUCCCAAGGGUAUGGCUGUUCGCCAUUUAAAGAGGUACGUGAGCUGGGUUUAAAACGUCGUGAGACAGUUUGGUCCCUAUCUUCCGUGGGCGCUGCAGAUUUGAGGAAGCCUGCUCCUAGUACGAGAGGACCGGAGUGGACACACCUCUGGUGUAUCGGUUGUCACGCCAGUGGCAUUGCCGAGUAGCUAAGUGUGGAAGAGAUAACCGCUGAAAGCAUCUAAGCGGGAAACUCGUUUCAAGAUGAGAUCUGCCGGGGCCUUGAGCCCCCUAAAGAGUCGUUCAAGACCAGGACGUUGAUAGGUCGGGUGUGGAAGCGCAGUAAUGCGUUAAGCUAACCGAUACUAAUUGCUCGUGCGGCUUGACCCU
rnacentral:rRNA from 1 species